CACGUAGGGUGCGAGCGUUGUCCGGAAUUAUUGGGCGUAAAGAGCUCGUAGGCGGUGUGUCGCGUCGGCCGUGAAAACCUGCAGCUUAACUGUGGGCUUGCGGUCGAUACGGGCAUCACUGGAGUUCGGCAGGGGAGACUGGAAUUCCUGGUGUAGCGGUGAAAUGCGCAGAUAUCAGGAGGAACACCCGUAGCGAAGGCGGCACUCUGGGCCGAUACUGACGCUGAGGAGCGAAAGCGUGGGGAGCGAACAGG
rnacentral:rRNA from 1 species